CCUUACUGACCUGCAUUAUCUUGUGGAUACCUGAGUGAAUUCCACACCACCCAUUUUAUAGAUGAAACCACUGAGACAUGGAGCAACUGACUGAGUAGUCACUGCCCCACCCCUGCCUGGAGCCUCACACAUGACUCGUCUCCUCUCAGUGACCACAGGUUGGUUGAGGGGUUUAACAAGGCUAAGAAGGUGAGACGUGGUCUUGUAACACAGUGGUUAAGAAUGUGACUUUGGAGCCAGCCUGCUAGGGGCUGAAUUCUGACUCAGCCAUUUACUAACUGUGUGACCUUAGGGAGGAGGACCUGGUUGAUAGAAGAAUUUAUCUCGUAGUCUUAACAUCCACUGUAAUUCCAAACUUUGAGGACGAUAGAGAUCAGUGGGCUUUGACUGCCCAGCAUGCAGUCUCCAUUCUUAGGUGGAGUCUCACUCUGUAGCCCAAGCUGGAGUGGUGUGAUCUCGACUCACUGCAACCUCCGCCUCCUGGGCUCAAGUGAUUCUCGUGCCUCAGCCUCCUGAGUAGCUGGGACUACAGGUCACAGAAUUUUCCACACUCCUUGACGGAGGUGCUUAACCCUUAUCCAUCAGCAUUCUCAGACAGCACCUCCGGUUAGGGACAGUAUCUGACCGUCCGACAUCCCUGCAGCCCCCAUGUGUCACACAGACUCAGCCUCAGGUAGAUGGUUUCCGUAGAUGGUGGCUUUCUUUGGACCCUUGACAUCAACCAGUUACUAUUUGGGGACCAGAUGUGCAGAGGUAAUGAAUACCAGGGAAUCAGGAAACCACUGGAUCAGUUCUUUGAGCCACAGAACAACACUCAUCCCAGCAGCUGGGAAGCUAUCUGCAAAAGUCCAUCUGCAGAAAGGGCUUCCUGGUCUUGCGUGUGGCUGGGCCAUUUCUCUGGAUGCAGGUUUUUCAUUAUACAGUCUUCUCAAAGAAACACCUGCUCUCAACACC
rnacentral:antisense_RNA from 1 species